rnacentral:rRNA from 1 species
AUGGCACAAGAUAAUACCAAGUUGUGUGACUUCUCGAAUACCAAUAAUAAUGAUUUCCUUAGUACUCCGAUUGCUUCUCUUAAUGAUGUUGAGUCUUGUGAAAUCAAUACCGCUUUGCUGAAUCUUGUUAUGAAAGAUCAAUUUGCCGGCCUUCCUAGUGAAGAUGCCGCUACUCAUCUAAACAAUUUUGUUGAUUUGUGUGAUAUGCAAAAGAAGAAAGAUAUGGAUAACGAUAUUGUCAAAUUGAAGUUAUUUCUGUUUUCACUUAGAGAUCGUUCUAAAGUUUGGUUUUUUUAUUUGCCUAAAAAUAGUAUUGAUUCUUGGAACAAGUGCAAAGAUGCUUUUAUCUCUAAGUAUUUUCCUCCCUCUAAGAUCAUCACUCUUAGGAACGAUAUUAUGAAUUUUAAACAACUUGAUCAUGAGCAUGUUGCCCAAUCUUGGGAAAGAAUGAAAUUGAUGCUUCGCAAUUGCCCUACUCAUGGUUUGAAUUUAUGGAUGAUCAUACAAAAAAUUUAUGCCGGUUUAAACUUUGCUUCUAGAAAUCUCUUAGAUUCGGCUGCGGGAGGCACCUUUAUGGAAAUCACAUUAAGAGAUGCUACAAAAUUUCUUGAUAAUAUUAUGGCUAAUUAUUCUCAAUGGCACACCGAAAGAUCUUCUAGUAAAAAAGUGCAUACUAUAGAAGAAAUUAAUGUUUUGAGUGGAAAGAUGGAUAAACUUAUGAAGAUGUUUGCUACUAAAAAUACUCCUCUUGAUCCCAAUGAUAUGCCUUUGUCUUCCUUGAUUGAGAAUAAUAAUGAAUCUAUGAAUGCGAAUUUUGUUGGUAGGAAUAGUUUUGGAAACAAUGCUUAUAGAGGAAAUUUUAAUGCUAAACCGUUCCCUAGUAAUCCCUCUAAUAAUUAUGGAAAUUCCUACAAUAAUUCUUAUGGUAAUUUUAAUAAUAUGCCCUCUGAUUUUGAGAAUAGUAUGAAAGAAUUUAUGAUUUCUCAAAAGAAUUUUAAUGCCUUGGUGAUUUGGCUAGGAACGUUGAUAGACUUUCGCUUGAUGAUUUGGCUAGGAACGUUGAUAGACUUUCGCUUGAUGUUAAUUCUCUUAAACUUGGAUCUUCUUCUCCUAAGCAUGAUAUCAAUGAGUCUUUCAAAGUAA